rnacentral:rRNA from 1 species
GUCCGAUUAGCUAGUUGGUGAGGUAACGGCUCACCAAGGCGACGAUCGGUAGCUGGUCUGAGAGGAUGAUCAGCCACACUGGGACUGAGACACGGCCCAGACUCCUACGGGAGGCAGCAGUGGGGAAUAUUGGACAAUGGGGGAAACCCUGAUCCAGCGACGCCGCGUGGGUGAUGAAGGCCUUCGGGUUGUAAAGCCCUUUCGUCCACGAUGAUGAUGACAGUAGUGGAAGAAGAAGCUCCGGCUAACUUCGUGCCAGCAGCCGCGGUAAUACGAAGGGGGCUAGCGUUGCUCGGAAUUACUGGGCGUAAAGCGCACGUAGGCGGCCAUGAUAGUCAGAUGUGAAAGGCCUGGGCUCAACCCGGGAAUUGCAUUUGAUACUGCAUGGCUAGAGUCCAAGAGAGGGUAGUGGAAUUCCCAGUGUAGAGGUGAAAUUCGUAGAUAUUGGGAAGAACACCAGUGGCGAAGGCGGCUACCUGG